GGGGGCCUUCGGGAACUAGAACACAGGUGCUGCAUUGGCUGUCGUCAGCUCGUGUCAUGAGAUGUUGGGUUAAGUCCCGCAACGAGCGCCACCUUGUCCUUCGUUGCCAGCAGGUAAUGGUGGGAACUCUAAGGAGAGGCCGGUGACAAACCGGAGGAAGGUGGGGAUGACGUCAAGUCAUCAUUGCGCUUCCGGCCAGGGCUACACUCGCACUACAAUGGUAGGGACAGAGAGCUCCAAUCCGGCGACGGUAAGCCAAUCCCUGAAACCCUAUCUCAGUCCUGAUUGGAGUCUGCAACUCGACUCCAUGCAGUUGGAAUCGCUAGUAAUCUCAGAUCCGCAUU
rnacentral:rRNA from 2 species